rnacentral:rRNA from 1 species
GACGAACGCUGGCGGCGUGCCUAACACAUGCAAGUUGAACGCGACCGGCUUGUACUUUUACCAACGGGAGGGGCAGGGGACGGGUGAGUAACGCGUGGUGGAUCUUCCUUUUAGCCGGGGAUCACAUUUGGGAACGAAUUCUUCUAACGCAUAAUAACUUUAAAAACAAGUUUUCAGUUUUAAAUAUGCCAUUGGAUCACUCAAAAGCCAUCCCGCGUUGUAUUACCUAGUUGGUGUGGGAAAGGCUAACCAAAGCGAUGAUACAUAACCGGCCUGCAAGGGUGAUCGGCCACAUUGGGACUGAGACACGGCCCAAAAUCCUACGGGAGGGAGCAGGAGGGGAUCUUCGGCAAUGGACGAAAGUCUGACCGAGCAACGCCGCGUGAGUGAAGAAGGUUUUCGGAUCGUAAAACUCUGUUGGUAGAGAAGAACGUUAGUGAGAGUGAAAAGCUCAUCAAGUGACGGUAACUACACAGAAAGGGACGGCUAACUACGUG